rnacentral:rRNA from 1 species
GAUGAACGCUGGCGGCGUGCCUAAUACAUGCAAGUCGAGCGAACAGAUGAGGAGCUUGCUCCUCUGACGUUAGCGGCGGACGGGUGAGUAACACGUGGAUAACCUACCUAUAAGACUGGGAUAACUUCGGGAAACCGGAGCUAAUACCGGAUAAUAUAUUGAACCGCAUGGUUCAAUAGUGAAAGACGGUUUUGCUGUCACUUAUAGAUGGAUCCGCGCCGCAUUAGCUAGUUGGUAAGGUAACGGCUUACCAAGGCGACGAUGCGUAGCCGACCUUAGAGGGUGAUCGGCCACACUGGAACUGAGACACGGUCCAGACUCCUACGGGAGGCAGCAGUAGGGAAUCUUCCGCAAUGGGCGAAAGCCUGACGGAGCAACGCCGCGUGAGUGAUGAAGGUCUUCGGAUCGUAAAACUCUGUUAUUAGGGAAGAACAAAUGUGUAAGUAACUAUGCACGUCUUGACGGUACCUAAUCAGAAAGCCACGGCUAACUACGUG